UCUACGGGAGGCAGCAGUAGGGAAUCUUCGGCAAUGGACGGAAGUCUGACCGAGCAACGCCGCGUGAGUGAAGAAGGUUUUCGGAUCGUAAAGCUCUGUUGUAAGAGAAGAACGAGUGUGAGAGUGGAAAGUUCACACUGUGACGGUAUCUUGCCAGAAAGGGACGGCUAACUACGUGCCAGCAGCCGCGGUAAUACGUAGGUCCCGAGCGUUGUCCGGAUUUAUUGGGCGUAAAGCGAGCGCAGGCGGUUAGAUAAGUCUGAAGUUAAAGGCUGUGGCUUAACCAUAGUACGCUUUGGAAACUGUUUAACUUGAGUGCAAGAGGGGAGAGUGGAAUUCCAUGUGUAGCGGUGAAAUGCGUAGAUAUAUGGAGGAACACCGGUGGCGAAAGCGGCUCUCUGGCUUGUAACUGACGCUGAGGCUCGAAAGCGUGGGGAGCAAACAGGAUUAGAUACCCUGGUAGUCCACGCCGUAAACGAUGAGUGCUAGGUGUUAGACCCUUUCCGGGGUUUAGUGCCGCAGCUAACGCAUUAAGCACUCCGCCUGGGGAGUACGACCGCAAGGUUGAAACUCAAAGGAAUUGACGGA
rnacentral:rRNA from 1 species